AACCCCCAGCUGUCUUACCCAUCAGAUCUGAACACUGGUCUGAGUGGUUAUAAAAGAAGGCGAAGUAAAAGUGGAGCUGACAUCACUGCUUUUAUGACGCACGACCUAGUUUGAAAGAGUU
rnacentral:snoRNA from 1 species